rnacentral:rRNA from 1 species
CAAGUCGAGCGAACAGACGAGGAGCUUGCUCCUCUGACGUUAGCGGCGGACGGGUGAGUAACACGUGGAUAACCUACCUAUAAGACUGGGAUAACUUCGGGAAACCGGAGCUAAUACCGGAUAAUAUAUUGAACCGCAUGGUUCAAUAGUGAAAGACGGUUUUGCUGUCACUUAUAGAUGGAUCCGCGCCGCAUUAGCUAGUUGGUAAGGUAACGGCUUACCAAGGCAACGAUGCGUAGCCGACCUGAGAGGGUGAUCGGCCACACUGGAACUGAGACACGGUCCAGACUCCUACGGGAGGCAGCAGUAGGGAAUCUUCCGCAAUGGGCGAAAGCCUGACGGAGCAACGCCGCGUGAGUGAUGAAGGUCUUCGGAUCGUAAAACUCUGUUAUUAGGGAAGAACAAAUGUGUAAGUAACUAUGCACGUCUUGACGGUACCUAAUCAGAAAGCCACGGCUAACUACGUGCCAGCAGCCGCGGUAAUACGUAGGUGGCAAGCGUUAUCCGGAAUUAUUGGGCGUAAAGCGCGCGUAGGCGGUUUUUUAAGUCUGAUGUGAAGCCCACGGCUCAACCGUGGAGGGUCAUUGGAAACUGGAAAACUUGAGUGCAGAAGAGGAAAGUGGAAUUCCAUGUGUAGCGGUGAAAUGCGCAGAGAUAUGGAGGAACACCAGUGGCGAAGGCGACUUUCUGGUCUGUAACUGACGCUGAUGUGCGA